GGGCUUGGGGGCUUGCUCCCGGGUUAGUGGCGAACGGGUGAGUAAUAUAUCGGAACAUAUCCGGAAGUGGGGGAUAACGUAGCGAAAGUUACGCUAAUACCGCAUAUGCCCUGAGGGGGAAAGGGGGGGAUCGCAAGACCUCUCGCUUUCGGAGUGGCCGAUACCGGAUUAGCUAGAUGGUGAGGUAAAGGCUCACCAUGGCGACGAUCCGUAGCGGGUCUGAGAGGACGACCCGCCACACUGGAACUGAGACACGGUCCAGACUCCUACGGGAGGCAGCAGUGGGGAAUUUUGGACAAUGGGCGCAAGCCUGAUCCAGCCAUACCGCGUGAGUGAAGAAGGCCUUCGGGUUGUAAAGCUCUUUCAGCCGGAAAGAAAUUGCUUCUAUUAAUACUAGGGGUAGAUGACAGUACCGGAAGAAGAAGCACCGGCUAACUACGUGCCAGCAGCCGCGGUAAUACGUAGGGUGCGAGCGUUAAUCGGAAUUACUGGGCGUAAAGCGUGCGCAGGCGGUUUGGUAAGACAGAUGUGAAAUCCCCGGGCUUAACCUGGGAACUGCAUUUGUGACUGCCAGACUAGAGUGUAGCAGAGGGGGGUAGAAUUCCACGUGUAGCAGUGAAAUGCGUAGAGAUGUGGAGGAAUACCGAUGGCGAAGGCAGCCCCCUGGGCUAACACUGAC
rnacentral:rRNA from 1 species